UACGGGGGAUGCAAGCGUUAUCCGGAAUCAUUGGGCGUAAAGCGCCUGUAGGUUGUUUAAUAAGUCUGUUGUUAAAGACUAGGGCUUAACCCUAGAAAAGCAAUGGAUACUACUAGACUAGAGUAUGGCAGGGGUAGAGGGAAUUUCUAGUGUAGCGGUGAAAUGCGUAGAUAUUAGAAAGAACACCGGUGGCGAAAGCGCUCUACUGGACCAUUACUGACACUCAGAGGCGAAAGCUAGGGUAGCAAAAGGGAUUAGGUACCCCUGUAGUCCUAGCCGUAAACGAUGGAUACUAGAUGUUGUAUUUAUUUUACAGUGUCCUAGCUAACGCGUUAAGUAUCCCGCCUGGGGAGUACGCUCGCAAGGGUG
rnacentral:rRNA from 1 species